UCAGAUCGUCACCUAAUCCCACAAAAAGAAAAGAAUCAAAUCGAAAUCGUCCUUCGGUCAGUGCUUCAAUGGUGACUUAGUUCGUGGAUGUCUGUUAUUUUAUUGGCUUGUUUUUUAAAUAUUUACGUGAUCAGGAAACUGUUUGGUGGUAUCUCAUAAAUUGAAAGAAAAUGUCAGGUGGUGUUGAGAGGAAUAAAAGGCCAGCUUCUUGUUACACUGGUCCUGAUUCCUAGAGUCGAACGUUAUUUAAUAGAGAACAGUCACAGAACAUAGAUAGACCUAUGGAGGAAAUGACUGAUUUACUUGAAAGGCAAUAUGCUGACUAUGGAAGGAAGAAGAAUAUUUCUUUUUCGAAAUUGUGUUAAGUAACUAUAUGGAGACAUAAUAAUAAUCCUGGGAGCCAAGGACGCCAAGGAUGAUGUCAGUGAUUCAUAUCCUUAUGAAACUGCUAGAAUAGCUGACACUCUUGAAAGUAGGGAAACUGCUAAUGUAUCCUUAUGAAGUAUGUACUCCUAACAAUACAGCAGAAUAUUCACAUAAUGAUAAUUGACAUAAUGGCGAUUGAUGUGCAUGGUGAACAAGUUACAGAAAGUUAUUGUAAAAAGAAAAGAAAUUUGAUCCAGAAGCCCCAGGUGAAACCAAGAAAAAAUCUGAUGUGUUCCAAUCUGUCAUUUCUACUAGGAAGUUAUCAGAAGUUGGUGGCCACUGAACAUCCC